rnacentral:rRNA from 1 species
GUGUCAGCCGCCGCGGUAAUACGGAGGGUGCAAGCGUUAAUCGGAACUACUGGGCGUAAAGCGCACGCAGGCGGUCUGUCAAGUCGGAUGUGAAAUCCCCGGGCUCAACCUGGGAACUGCAUUCGAAACUGGCAGGCUAGAGUCUUGUAGAGGGGGGUAGAAUUCCAGGUGUAGCGGUGAAAUGCGUAGAGAUCUGGAGGAAUACCGGUGGCGAAGGCGGCCCCCUGGACAAAGACUGACGCUCAGGUGCGAAAGCGUGGGGAGCAAACAGGAUUAGAUACCCUGGUAGUCCACGCCGUAAACGAUGUCGAUUUGGAGGUUGUGCCCUUGAGGCGUGGCUUCCGGAGCUAACGCGUUAAAUCGACCGCCUGGGGAGUACGGCCGCAAGGUUAAAACUCAAAUGAAUUGGCGG